rnacentral:lncRNA from 10 species
AAAGUAUCUCCAGGGAGAAAGGAGAUUUGCACCCAUGAUCAUCUGAAGGUAGAUACAGGUUAUACACAAGAUGAAUGGAUUAACCACUGGAAGACCUGCACUACUACAAAUGUUAAAGAAAGUCCUUCCAAGAAAGAAAAAAGGCAACUUAAUGGAAACUUGUGUCUACCAAAUGGAAAGAAGAGCAAUGGGAAUCCUAACUACGGGUACACUGAAGAACACUUUUGCAGCUGACUAACAACUCUUGAUAUUGAGAAAGUUAUCAGAAUUAUUUGCAAAUCUCCUCUCAGAUUUGCAAAGGAUGCUGGCAUUUCUCCAUGAGGCAGGUAUACAAGCAACAUUUUGUGAAAUUGUUUGUCUGACAAAAUUGUGUGAAAUUUUCCAGAAUUAAAACAGCAUGUAAAAUUUAACUUCUAUAACUUUCUUUAAAAUAAAGGAAAACUGAAUGUGA